CGCCUAAGCCAUGCGAGUCAUAUGUUCGUAAGAACAUGGCGUACUGCUCAGUAACACGUGGAUAACCUGCCCUUGGGUCCGGCAUAACCCCGGGAAACUGGGGAUAAUUCCGGAUAACGCACAUAUGCUGGAAUGCUUUAUGCGUGAAAUGGAUUCGUCUGCCCAAGGAUGGGUCUGCGGCCUAUCAGGUAGUAGUGGGUGUAAUGUACCUACUAGCCUACGACGGGUACGGGUUGUGAGAGCAAGAGCCCGGAGAUGGAUUCUGAGACAUGAAUCCAGGCCCUACGGGGCGCAGCAGGCGCGAAAACUUUACAAUGCGGGAAACCGUGAUAAGGGGACACCGAGUGCCAGCAUCCUAUGCUGGCUGUCCAGGUGUGUAAACUACACCUGUUAGCAAGGGCCGGGCAAGACCGGUGCCAGCCGCCGCGGUAACACCGGCGGCCCGAGUGGUGAUCGUGAUUAUUGGGUCUAAAGGGUCCGUAGCCGGUUUGGUCAGUCCUCCGGGAAAUCUGACUGCUUAACUGUUAGGCUUUCGGAGGAUACUGCCAGACUUGGAACCGGGAGAGGUAAGAGGUACUACAGGGGUAGGAGUGAAAUCUUGUAAUCCCUGUGGGACCACCUGUGGCGUAGGCGUCUUACCAGAACGGGUUCGACGGUGAGGGACGAAAGCUGGGGGCACGAAUCGGAUUAGAUACCCGGGUAGUCCCAGCCGUAAACGAUGCUCGCUAGGUGUCAGGCAUGGCGCGACCGUGUCUGGUGC
rnacentral:rRNA from 1 species